rnacentral:rRNA from 1 species
CCUACGGGAGGCAGCAGUGGGGAAUAUUGCACAAUGGGGGGAACCCUGAUGCAGCGACGCCGCGUGAGUGAAGAAGUAUUUCGGUACGUAAAGCUCUAUCAGCAGGGAAGAAAAAAGGACGGUACCUGAGUAAGAAGCCCCGGCUAACUACGUGCCAGCAGCCGCGGUAAUACGUAGGGGGCAAGCGUUAUCCGGAAUUACUGGGUGUAAAGGGAGCGUAGACGGUAAUGCAAGUCCGGAGUGGAAUGCGGCAGCGCAACUGCCGAACUGCUCUGGAAACUGUAUGGCUUGGGUGCAGGAGGGGUAAGCGGAAUUCCUGGUGUAGCGGUGAAAUGCAUAGAUAUCACACAGAACACCGAUUGCGAAGGCAUCUCACGAAUCCGCGAUUGACGCUGAUGCGCGAAAGCGUGGGGAGCAAACAGGAUUAGAUACCCCAGUAGUC